rnacentral:rRNA from 1 species
UACGUAGGUGGCAAGCGUUAUCCGGACUUACUGGGUGUAAAGGGCGAGUAGGCGGGAUUGCAAGUCAGAUGUGAAAACUAUGGGCUCAACCCAUAGACUGCAUUUGAAACUGCAGUCCUUGAGUGAUGGAGAGGCAGGCGGAAUUCCCGGUGUAGCGGUGGAAUGCGUAGAUAUACGGAGGAACACCAGUGGCGAAGGCGGCCUGCUGGACAUUAACUGACGCUGAGGCGCGAAAGCGUGGGGAGCAAACAGG